rnacentral:rRNA from 1 species
GAACUUAAGCAUAUCAAUAAGCGGAGGAAAAGAAACCAACAGGGAUUGCCUCAGUAACGGCGAGUGAAGCGGCAACAGCUCAAAUUUGAAAUCUGGCUCUUUCAGGGUCCGAGUUGUAAUUUGUAGAAGAUGCUUUGGGUGUAGCUCCGGUCUAAGUUCCUUGGAACAGGACGUCAUAGAGGGUGAGAAUCCCGUAUGUGACUGGGUGCUUUCGCUCGUGUAAAGCUCUUUCGACGAGUCGAGUUGUUUGGGAAUGCAGCUCAAAAUGGGUGGUAAAUUUCAUCUAAAGCUAAAUAUUGGCCAGAGACCGAUAGCGCACAAGUAGAGUGAUCGAAAGAUGAAAAGCACUUUGGAAAGAGAGUUAAACAGUACGUGAAAUUGUUGAAAGGGAAGCGCUUGCAACCAGACUUGCGCGCUGUUGAUCAUCCGAGCUUUUGCCCGGUGCACUCGGCAGCGUUCAGGCCAGCAUCGGUUUUGGUGGGCGGAUAAAGGCCUUGGGAAUGUAGCUUCUUUCGGGGAGUGUUAUAGCCCUCGGUGCAAUGCGCCCUACCGGGACCGAGGACCGCGCUUCGGCUAGGAUGCUGGCGUAAUGGUUGUAAGCGACCCGUCUUGAGACACGGACCAAGGAGUCUAACAUCUAUGCGAGUGUUUGGGUGUCAAACCCAUACGCGUAAUGAAAGUGAACGGAGGUGAGAACCCUUAAGGGUGCAUCAUCGACCGAUCCUGAUGUCUUCGGAUGGAUUUGAGUAAGAGCAUAGCUGUUGGGACCCGAAA